UACGGGGGGGAGCAAGCGUUGUUCGGAUUUACUGGGCGUAAAGGGCGCGUAGGCGGCCACCGCAAGUCGACUGUGAAAUCUCCGGGCUUAACCCGGAAAGGUCAGCCGAUACUGCGGGGCUAGAGUGCAGAAGGGGCAACUGGAAUUCUCGGUGUAGCGGUGAAAUGCGUAGAUAUCGAGAGGAACACCUGCGGCGAAGGCGGGUUGCUGGGCUGACACUGACGCUGAGGUGCGAAAGCCAGGGGAGCAAACGGG
rnacentral:rRNA from 1 species